GACGAACGCUGGCGGCGUGCUUAACACAUGCAAGUCGAACGGUAAGGCCCUUUCGGGGGUACACGAGUGGCGAACGGGUGAGUAACACGUGGGUGAUCUGCCCUGCCCUUUGGGAUAAGCCUGGGAAACUGGGUCUAAUACCGGAUAGGACUACGCGAUGCAUGUCGUGUGGUGGAAAGCUUUUUCGGUGUGGGGUGGGCCCGCGGCCGAUCAGCUUGUUGGUGGGGUGAUGGCCUACCAAGGCGACGACGGGUAGCCGGCCUGAGAGGGUGUCCGGCCACACUGGGACUGAGAUACGGCCCAGACUCCUACGGGAGGCAGCAGUGGGGAAUAUUGCACAAUGGGCGCAAGCCUGAUGCAGCGACGCCGCGUGGGGGAUGACGGCCUUCGGGUUGUAAACCCCUUUCGGCACAGACGAAGCGUAAGUGACGGUAUGUGCAGAAGAAGCACCGGCUAACUACGUG
rnacentral:rRNA from 1 species